GCCCAGGUGGCGGAACUGGUAGACGCACUACCUUGAGGUGGUAGCGCCGCAAGGCGUAGGGGUUCGAGUCCCCUCUUGGGCACCA
rnacentral:tRNA from 10 species